UGGUUCUUGUUGUCAACCUGCUUGGCC
rnacentral:piRNA from 2 species